rnacentral:rRNA from 1 species
UACGUAUGUGGCAAGCGUUAUCCGGAUUUAUUGGGCGUAAAGAGAACGCAGGCGGUCUUUUAAGUCUGAUGUGAAAGCCUUCGGCUUAACCGGAGUAGUGCAUUGGAAACUGGGAGACUUGAGUGCAGAAGAGGAGAGUGGAACUCCAUGUGUAGCGGUGAAAUGCGUAGAUAUAUGGAAGAACACCAGUGGCGAAAGCGGCUCUCUGGUCUGUAACUGACGCUGAGGUUCGAAAGCGUGGGUAGCAAACAGG